AGACUUUCUGAGGACGCCUGGCGUUACCAGGGCUACACGCAAACCAGGGCGAUUACCGACGAUACUUGCAACGUCGACGGUGUCGCUGACCAUGGCAGCACUAGUUACCUGCACUUGGGGGCCAUCAGCAGCAUGGAUAAUGCAAGGCCCAGCACAAGCCGUGCUGGCAUGAAGGAUGCAUCAGCCAGUUUUGAAGACGGCGCCACGAAUGCUACUGGAACCGGAGAAAGGGAACAGCAAGCGUCCUGCGGUGCCAGUAGAAAGGUUUCCAGCAGACAGGACACCUUACCCGGGCAACCCAACAAACACACGGGUGAUACAGCCCCCACUUUCAGAGCACGUGAUGAAUCAUCUGUCAAGAAUUCGAGCCACAAAUGCGAAACAUGUGGUAAAUUGCUAAGCGGAGCUUUUAGUCUAACUGAACAUUACCGUACGCAUACAGGCGAGAGACCCUUGAAAUGCGAAAUAUGCAAGAAAUCAUUUGCGCAUAGGGGGAGUUUCUAUAAACAUCAACAGAUUCACACAAGAGUGAAACCCCAUAUCUGCCAAAUAUGUACUAAACCGUUCAAUAACAAAGACGGCCUUAUCAGUCAUCUCAAAUCACAUAGUUCCGACAGACCUUUCGUUUGCGACAUAUGUAAUCACUCCUUUAAGUGGAACACAGAUCUCCGAAGGCACCGCAAAAGAACUCACUAGGGUAAAAUCUCGUACGAGUGCAAGCACUGUGGAUUUCGGUCCGCAAAGAAAGGAAACCUAGACGCACAUCUGUGUAAGAAUAUUAGUUGCCAAUUGUGUGUAGAUUCGUUUAGAGACGCAGCUCAACUGAUUGCACAUCACGUGGCGCUUAUGGGUGGGCAAUCGUAACAGUGUGACUAGUGCGCAAGUGAAGUCAAUCGCCCACGUGUUUGCAUAGGAAUGUGACCAUGAAGCCGUGCAGGAAAAUAACGCUUACAUUGUCCCACAGGGGCGAGUAACUAUCCGAGCGCGUCGUGUCCACAGACGGGCUUCUUUUCACGUUUAAAACUACUGAGUGAAAUGCAAAGCGUCAAGGAUGGCGCUUGAUUUUUCGAAAUUACGUGACAAAAACGUCGUCUCCAGCAGAAUUUGGGAUGUUGCAAUGUCAAAGUUAACUGCAGGUCCUGACUAGAGCUAACUGUUUGCCAAACUAAGUUGUCUCGCCGACGAAGCUUUAGCAAACUCCUUUCUAGACAAACCCUAAUGGGCUGCAACUUUGUGUUUGUGUAACUAGAUCGCUGGAUGUUCGCACAUGAUCCUUGACUCCUCGUUUAGUUUUGUGCAAGCGUUUUGACAGUGUACUAGUAAAUGAGUUUUAACUAGCCAUGCGUUUAAUGAUUCUGCCGUGCAAAUAGAAGGGAGUACCUCACAUGAGGAACCCUUAAAAAAGGAGGCACUGUGUUCUUGUCAACUAAAAACUAAUAUCUGCUAAUAAUUGAAGGCCUUAGGCCUAGUGGCCUUUCAGAGACAGCUUUCACAAUAUAUAGACACAGGUAUGGUAAAAUUUAUUUCCCUUACAUAUUGUUGAAUACACGCAGUGUUUUUGUUCUCUCCACGACUCUUGUACCCAUACCGAAGAUUUUUGUUCCUUAUCAUGGUGAUGACAACAGUGAGACUGUAUUAGACUGAAACCGUUUGGAGCUUAAAUAUACAUGUUCUUCCACAUCGAGUUUUUUAACUGUUUUUAUAUAUAGCUAGAACCUCUGCCAGUUUCAACGUGCAGUUGCUUAUUCGCUCGUAAGUCGUCUCUUUUGACUUGCGCACCGCUCUAGUUACAGCUGUGGAAUUUUUAAACCUGAUGUGACAAACGUAUCCCUGCGAGCAACUACAGGACGAUUGAGAUACAGGUUUUAGUUAAUAGUAUUGACCCGCGUACUUCUAUAUCUUUUUCCAGUGAACGCGUCUCACAGAAUAACAAAUUUUAAGUUACAACUCAGGGCAUGAGGCACCAGCGUGUAUCAGGACAUUCUGCAAUUGUCGAGCCUUGUGUAAUCAAAUUGCACGCGUACACGCGAAUACAGUUCUGCAUUCAGGAAGACACGUGAGUGCCAAUGAGAACGCUGGAACGUUCUACGAAAAAAUUGACAACAGCCGAUACUCGUGAAUCGCAAAUCAUUUGUUCAACGAUCGACUCGUGUACCCGGCACUGUCGUUCCGCCCGAAUGUAACUUGUUUUGUUGG